AUCCCAGUUCGGAUUGCAGGCUGCAACCCGCCUGUAUGAAGUUGGAAUCGCUAGUAAUCGCGGAUCGGCAUGCCGCGGUGAAUACGUUCCCGGGCCUUGUACACACCGCCCGUCACACCAUGAGAGUCGGGAACACCCGAAGUCCGUAGCCUAACCGCAAGGAGGGCGCGGCCGAAGGUGGGUUCGAUAAUUGGGGUGAAGUCGUAACAAGGUAGC
rnacentral:rRNA from 1 species